GUCUUUGACAAGAGUAGAGGCUGGUAUGGGUAAUCUUAGGUCGUUAGAUUGACGAAGGGCAUAAUAAUUGGAGUAACUGCUAAAUAUCAAUUUAUGUUUGUUAAUCAAACAUACUGUUUCU